rnacentral:lncRNA from 1 species
UGGGAGAGCCAUCGUUUGACUCCAGGCCUGAAUGAAGCAACCGAGACCACAUCCUGAAGAAAUUUACCUGUACACAGAAUAAAGGAGGAGAAAGGGGCAGGGAAGGAGAGUAAGUAGUUCAGUGUGAGUUCUGCUUUGCCCCAUGUCACCUCCUUGACUAAUUCUGAUUUCCUUGCUCACUUAAAACUCUCCUUCCCUGAGUGAGUAUAUUAGCUUCUAUUACUUCAUAACAAAUAACCACAAACUUAACUCAAAACAACAUCAUCUAUUUGCUCUCAGUUGCGUAGGUUCUACUUCUAUUCAGAGUAUGACAAGUUAGAAAUCAAGGUGUUUCACCUGGAGGUAGGUAGUAGGGGAAGUUCCUCUUCUAUAUUCAUUUUUCUUGUUGGAAGAAUUCAGUUCCUUUCACUGGUGGGACUGAUGGCUCCAUUUCCUUGCUGGCUGUCAGCUGCUCCUGGGUCCUAGAGUUUCUUCUCCAAUCCUUGCUAUGUGGCUUCCAUAGACAGUUCACCACAUGGAUGUUUGCUUUAUUCCAGGCCAGCCAAAGCUUGUCUCUUUCCUCUUCUUCCACCAGAUGGAGAAAAUCCUGUUUUUAAAGGCUCGCGUGAUCCAGUAAGCCUUACCUGGAUAAUCGCCCUUUCUUACAUUUAGCUGUACCAUGUAGCAUAACUUAAUGACAAGCCCAGAAAUUAGAGCAGAAAUCUUGGAGGCCAUCACAGACUUUAGCCUGCCAUGCUAAUAUAUUUUAGGUAUUCAACAAAUAGUUGUUGGACUAGCAGAUGUAUUUUGAAGCAUCUUAUCUCGUUUGUCUUCAGAAUAUGACUUAGGACUUCAUCUGUUCCCUCUGCCUUCAAUGCACAGAUUUUAGCUAAAGAAAAAGGACUCUUCUACUAAUAUAAACAAUAUACAUGCUUUUAUUAACCAAAAGGAAAAGGAAAUAGGCUUAUGUGAUUUUGAGCCUCCACAGAACUGUCAAAGAUGGAUCUUUCUAAGCAAUUCACGGAAGAUGUGAAAAUUAAUAUGGCAUGUAGGUGCUGUUGGUUCCAAUUAAAAUCAAUAUCUGUCCUGAUUUGUGUCUCUUGUCUCUAUGACAGCGAGGGGGCUGGCUAAGGGGAUACAUCUGCUCCUCUCUCCCAAAGGGGCUCAAAACAAGUGAAUGACCUGCAGUGUUUAUUAUUAAGUUUUCAAAGGGAAAGUUGUUUUGGUUUAAUUGAAGCAAUAAUACGAGAGAGGUUAUUUCUGGUCAGUUCCCUGCUGUUUUCACUCUGGAGAAUAUAUUCCAGGUGUUCAUGUGCCACACUGCAGUGCAGUGCUGCUGUCUCUUGAGUGUAGGCAUGCUAGUGCCAGUGGAGCGAUAAACUAGCCUUAGCAGUUUAAGCCAGUCUUGGCCUUUGAGAGACACUUUUUUAGUUAACUU